CCUACCUCCAGGCUGCCAGCUCCCCAUCAAACACUGACCCUCACCUGAGCAGCUGACCCCACUGUUCCUACGGAGCCACUGCCUGCCUCACCUACGUUCACUGCCUGGACACCCUGCUCCACCCCUACCUGCUCCACGCUGGAGUCCUGGCUCAAGAGACGCCGUAAAGGAAAGGACACUAGAGGGUUAAACACCACGGAAAUUUCAGCUUCUGAACGCACCUUUCAAGCUGCCUGCAAAAUCGGAAUUGAAGUGUCCAAGCUGCAACAUCAAGCACUUCAGGCUGAUUCUCUAUGGAACAAUACAGAACUCACUCAGUCCAAGGACACACUGAGAAAUGAGUCCUUAUUCUUCCAUCUGUCUGAACUGUAUGUAAACUAAAACCACACUGAAUAUG